rnacentral:sRNA from 12 species
AUCCGACCGUGGUUUUAGGCAAAUCCUAUCUGUAAGGGCUUUGACAAGUCUAGAUAGGUGUUUAACCUUUAAAUACCGAUAAGCCGUCCGUGUCCGAUAUGGGUACGGAUUGUGAUGACGACUAGAAAGUCAGCAAGUGGAAGCACUUGUGCGUAGGUUAAGCAGCCUCAUAUACAUGAAAGACUGAUGUAGAGUUCGGUUGGAGCGACAAGUACCUAGCUUGAGAUAGUUAGGUCGCCUUGGUAUGACUAGUGUGAGAAGCUAGGAACCGUAGAGGUAUCUCAAAAACAAGCUUUUGCAGUGACGUCCUCGUAAGUGGACUAUAACAACAGAACUCGUAUUAGUAGCCUAAUUCUGCAAUCCCUUGGUUGGGAAGUGUUGUCCAUAUAGUUCAAGAUGGAGACAUGAAUACAAGAUUAUAUUACUCUUGUUAGGUGAACGUUGGUGGUCGUCGAGCCAGCCCCUCCUUUGUAAAGGACUCUAUGUAGUAGGAAGUCGAGAGCCUAUGAGAGUUAGAGUCGGAGAGAAACAUCUAUUGUCUGCAGUGUAUGUGUGGUAGAGCUAAAAACUCUUGCCUAUUUUAUAAGUUCC